UACGUAGGCAGCGAGCGUUGUUCGGAGUUACUGGGCGUAAAGCGUGCGUAGGCGGUGUUCCAAGUCUGGUGUGAAAUCUCCCGGCUUAACCGGGAGGGUGCGCUAGAAACUGGGACGCUGGAGUGUGGGAGAGGCAAGCGGAAUUCCUGGUGUAGCGGUGAAAUGCGUAGAUAUCAGGAGGAACACCUGCGGUGUAGACGGCUUGCUGGACCAUGACUGACGCUGAGGCACGAAAGCGUGGGGAGCAAACAGG
rnacentral:rRNA from 1 species